rnacentral:rRNA from 1 species
AGCAGCCGCGGUAAUUCUAGCUCCAAUAGCGUAUAUUUAAGUUGUUGCAGUUAAAAAGCCGUAGUUGCUCCAAUAGACGAUCAGAUACCGUCCUAGUCUCAACCAUAAACGAUGCCGACAGGGGAUCGGCGGAUGUUGCUUAUAGGACUCCGCCGGCACCCUAUGGGAAACCAAGCUAGCGGGCUGGCAAGGCACA